CAAGCAUGAUGAUGAUUUGUACAUUAAAAUUCCGAUAAAUUCAUGAUUGGAAUACAGUAUCCUCCUACUCAUUCUGA